rnacentral:rRNA from 1 species
UACGUAGGGGCCUAGCGUUGUCCGGAAUUAUUGGGCGUAAAGAGCUCGUAGGCGGUUUGUCGCGUCUGCUGUGAAAAACUCGGGGCUUAACCCCCGGGCCUGCAGUGGGUACGGGCAGACUAGAGUGCGGUAGGGGAGACUGGAAUUCCUGGUGUAGCGGUGAAAUGCGCAGAUAUCAGGAGGAACACCGGUGGCGAAGGCGGGUCUCUGGGACGUGACUGACGCUGAGACGCGAAAGCGUGGGGAGCAAACAGG